GGAAGUAAAAGUCGUAACAAGGUUUCCGUAGGUGAACCUGCGGAAGGAUCAUUACCGAGUUUUCGGGCUCCGGCUCGACUCUCCCACCCUUUGUGAACAUACCUCUGUUGCUUUGGCGGCUCCGGCCGCCAGAGGACCUUCAAACUCCAGUCAGUAAACGUCGACGUCUGAAAAACAAGUUAAAUAAACUAAAACUUUCAACAACGGAUCUCUUGGUUCUGGCAUCGAUGAAGAACGCAGCGAAAUGCGAUAAGUAAUGUGAAUUGCAGAAUUCAGUGAAUCAUCGAAUCUUUGAACGCACAUUGCGCCCCUUGGUAUUCCGAGGGGCAUGCCUGUUCGAGCGUCAUUACAACCCUCAAGCUCUGCUUGGUAUUGGGCUCCGUCCUCAUUGCGGGACGCGCCUCAAAGACCUCGGCGGUGGCUGUUCAGCCCUCAAGCGUAGUAGAAUACACCUCGCUUUGGAGCGGUUGGCGUCGCCCGCCGGACGAACCUUCUGAACUUUUCUCAAGGUUGACCUCGGAUCAGGUAGGGAUACCCGCUGAACUUAAGCAUAUCAAUAAGCGGAGGA
rnacentral:rRNA from 1 species